rnacentral:rRNA from 1 species
UACGUAGGGUCCGAGCGUUGUCCGGAAUUAUUGGGCGUAAAGAGCUCGUAGGCGGUUUGUCGCGUCGGCCGUGAAAUCUCCACGCUUAACGUGGAGCGUGCGGUCGAUACGGGCAGACUUGAGUUCGGUAGGGGAGACUGGAAUUCCUGGUGUAGCGGUGAAAUGCGCAGAUAUCAGGAGGAACACCGGUGGCGAAGGCGGGUCUCUGGGCCGAUACUGACGCUGAGGAGCGAAAGCGUGGGGAGCGAACAGG